UACAGAGGGUGCGAGCGUUGUCCGGAAUCACUGGGCGUAAAGGGCGCGUAGGUGGCGCCGCAAGUCCAUGGUGAAAGCUCGAUGCUCAACAUCGAGUCGGCCACGGAGACUGCGGGGCUCGAGCACUGUAGGGGCAGAUGGAAUUCCGGGUGUAGCGGUGGAAUGCGUAGAGAUCCGGAAGAACACCGGUGGCGAAGGCGGUGAGCUGGGCAGUUGCUGACACUGAUGCGCGACAGCGUGGGGAGCAAACAGG
rnacentral:rRNA from 1 species